GGCGCCUGGAAACGGCCGCCGUAGAGUUGGCGGACUUGCGAAGGAGCGAAGAUGGCGGAGUGAAGCACAUUGAGGCUAUCUGGCCUUUGGGCCAGGGGGCGGGCCGGCCCCCGGGCGCUGGAGUGCUUCUGCCGGCCCUUUCGAGGAAGAACAAUUUCCUUGCCAUUUAGGUGCUUUUAUAUUCAUCUCAAAAAGAAACAAAAUGCUGAACUCGGGAUUUGGCAAGUGCUUCUACAUUGUCUCCUAGAGUGGGGUAGUCCUGCUUCUCUUAUCCAGUCACCUUCCCUGUUGAAAUGUGGAUGUUUCUUCUCUACACGUUGCCUCCGUGACUUGCACUGGAAAGGCUGCUCUUCUUUUUGCUCCCACUCACAUUCAGCACAGAGAAGCCCUGGGCACAGUCCUUCCACCAGGUUCUCCUGGAAGAGAGGAGCAGCUGAAUCACAAAGGAAUUAUUUCAAAAGCUGAAGGCUGAUGUCUCGUUUGAAGCAGAUGCUUUGAUGGUGAUAUUUGUGAAUUCUUUACCUUUUGUUCCAAACAAGAAGACUGAAUAUAAAUAGCAGGUAUCGGUAUCACAUCAGGGUUCUGGGGUUUUUUUGUCUUCCAGUUUUAAUCACUAUCAUGAUAAGCACAGUUAAGACUUAAAACAGUAAAUUCCAGAUAUAUGUUCUAAUUUGAAAUGAAAGAGAUGCUUAAAGAGAUGGCUUACAUAUGUAUCUAAAUCCUGGCUUAUCCUUUGACAUGGAUUUACUAGAUAAGAACAAAGGUCCCGAUUUGCAAUAAAACCGUUGAUGUGAUAAAGAAGUAAAAAGACAAGAUAUCACAAGGUUACUUCCAUAUGUGAAUAAACCAUCACAAACCUAUAAAUAGCUGUUUUUACAUAUGUAAGUCCACAGUUUGGGAUGAUAAGAGGAAUUUUUCUCCUGGAGAAGGAAGCUGUGGUUGACUUCAUUCUCAGAAAUCUUUGGAUAUUUGGUAUUUUUAAAUGUUUUUUCAUUCAUCUAAGGAGUGACCACAUUGUGCAGAUGCUAACCUUAUGAAUGCAUGCUUGGGUUUAGUGAAAGAUUGGUAAAAGGAAACAAGUUUUGACUCCAGUGAUGGAACCCUCUUCACCUCUGGAGCAUGAGAGACCUACUAUAUUACAAAGUGUUUCAUUCUUUUUUGUGGAGUCUUAUAUAGCGCUUGAGACUUGGUUUUACAUGCUGCUAAGGCUGGAAGAAAAGUGGCAUAAGUGGAUUUUCUGUUCAGGGGAUGUGAUGGACCCUACCGUAUGACCUGCCUCAGCUGUGGACAUAGAGGAGUGGAGGAAAAAAGGAGGAAACUUUCCGUAUUACUCCUUUCCCUUGGAAAAAUAAGUGAAAGUGCUUUAUGCAGCUCUGAGUUUAUGGCAUUUCACAUUCUUACAGCUCUGUUUUUUGUAAAAGCAUAAAUAACUGUUUUCCUUUGACCCAAAAUGGGUUCUUGGCUAUUUGUUUUUCUAGGCAAUAGGUGUAAUGUCUGACUGAAAAGGCUUGGACUCAGGUAACUUUCUCCAGUUGGAACUGAACUUUCUCAUCAGAGAAUGGACCUCAGAAGAAAUGUACCCAAACGUGAUUGGUUCCGUGUAGAUUUAGAAAAAUUCAGAGUGUGAAAAAAAGGAGGGGAGAAACCCUCAAACAGGAAAAAUAAUUCCAAUAAGAAAAGUAAUGCACUUCCUUUCUGUGAAAACAUGUAUUAUCUGAUGAACAGUCUAUAGGGUAAAGCUGUCCUUGCUUCCAAGUCAACAGAGGACCACUGUAUGAAUUUCCAGGUCUUUACAUAAGAAGGAAACCUUUUAUAGUAAGUCUGUGAGUAGAGAAAGAAUUUAAAGCUGCUUCGAUGAAAUUAAGAUCAAAUCAUCUUAGAUUAUCUCUGUGAUAUACAGAAUGUUUGCCCAGGGCCAUACGUGCUGUGCUGCUGAAAUCUUGGGAAAGAUUUAUCAGAAUUUGAGAGUGAUAGAAAUAGCCAAAAUUGGAAAAUAAUUGAGUAUUCUUAAUCAUUAGUUAAAUUGGUCAGCUAGUUUGCAUUGACAUAAAACAUUUUGGCAAAAUAAUUACAUGAUAUAGAUAAAAUAUAAUUUCCCUUAAUUGCGAGCAAUUACUCAGUGCUGUAAAGCAUAGUCAAAGUAGCUUGGAUAAAGGUAACUUAAAUUUUUCUCUUAGUAACUUCUCAGCCAUUUCCUGAUGUUUUCUCUCAGUAUUUUGGAAUUGUUAAAAACUGUAGGAAUGCUUUAGGAAUGGAACCUGCCUAUAUAAGUCCCGUUCGUACGUUGAAAAUAUCUACAUUUGUUUGUUAAAGCCAUCUCCUCCCCCCGCCCUUUUUUUUUUUUUGGCAAGAAUCUUUUGGCAGGGUAUAGCAGAGACGUGUACCAGCAGAACCAGUGAAACUGUCUCUUUUCCACUUGUUUAAAUAUGUGUAUCAGACUCAUCUUCUCAAGUUGCUUUACAUAUUUUCAUUUCACAGCUAAGAGACCACUGCUUAAUGCUUUCUUUCAAAUUGUUUCUGCAUCUUCCAUGAUUUUCAUCAGAUGGCACUUAACAAAAUGGGUAUAUUCCAGUUGUAUUUGCCCGGUGUUUACUUACUGCAUCCACAUUGUUUUCCCUGAUGUAUUUUGUUCCACUUCAUGAUGGCAAAAGCUAUAAUUUUAGGCAGGACUAUGCCUCUUUCUGUAGCUGUGCCUACUUCCUUUACUUUGCUUAUCCAUGUUAGCUGGCAUUUUUUUCUUUAAAAAAAGUUGAACAAAAACGGGAUAUGUGCAAUAGAAAUAUAUAUAUGUAUAUUUUUUUUUCUAAAUACUUGUGGACAAAUGUUACAAGUUGUUUAAGAACAACAAAAUCACCAAUGUCUUCCAUUUUGAGAUGUGUAUAGUUUUGUAAGCAUUAGUGCUUGGUAGCAUAUUGUAGUGCCAUGUUAGGGGUUAGUGCAUGAACUUAGUAAUACUUUAAACUUCAGGAUGAAUUACAGAAAAUAAUAGUGUAAAAAGAUUGGGAAAUCUAGACCUUUUGUGUUUUUUUCAUAAAUAUCUGAAUCUGUGAUAUUCUCCCUGGGGAAAAAGAGAUUAAAGCCAAAAGUACUCAUUUAGGAAUAGAAAUGUGGGGUCACAACAUGAGAUACUGUCUUUGAGGAUAUUUAAGCUUUUCAUGAGGUAGCUGGAAAGCAGUUGCCUUUGUGUCUUUAUGAAACCUUACAUCAAAACAAGGCCCUAUUUCAUGAUUUGGCUUUGCUCUCUCAAGUUUGAAGUGAAAUUGUUCUUACACUGUUUUCACAUUGUAUGUCUGGUAGGUUUAUUGUUUUCCCACUCCUUUUGCAUCAGAUUAUUUUGUAUUUUGCAUGUUACCAAGAUUAUGUGUUUAUUGCUCAAGUGACUGUUUUUCUGAUCUGCAGGCCAUUUAUGCUUCCAUCUACAGUAUGCUACGGGUUAACAGAACAACACUGAUCAGUAGUUCAGAGUGUCCUAGAUGAAUUUCUCAUGGGUUUUUCCUGUUUUUAAAUCUGCUGAAUUGUGUAUUGAUGGGAUUCUAGACCUUUUCAUGAGAAUUGGAAAUGAAGCUAAAUGGAGCCUACCUAGGCUGCCAUGUGUUAACUCUCUGCUUGGUUAUAGUGAUUGCCUCAGACAGCUUUCACUUUUUUCUGCUUUCCUCAUAGAAAUAAAAGUUUGUUUUGUUCUGAAAGCAUAGCUUUCUGCAGAAAAGAAAUUCCUACCUCUAAAAGCUUUCUUGAGAACUUGGAAAUGGCAGUUUUCUGCUGUGGUUUUUAGAUCUCAGGAGAGUUCAGGAUAGACACAAAUUCUACAGUUAGUAUGAUAGGAAAUGCAAAACAUUUUUAAUGUGGUGUGACACGUGCAGAAGCAGGCUUAAACAAAUUGACUCUUGGGCAGCAGAUCUCCAGGGACCCAGGUUUUAGAUUCUAAGAUUGUACUUAAAAGUGGUUGUACUCUUGGUUCAAGUAGUUUAGUGCCUGGGAGAAUCCACUUCUGCAAAGCAUUUAAACGUUUUUAAAAAUACCUCUGCAAAGGUAAUGAAUGCAAAAUAGCAGAGUAUAUAGGAAAGGAUAUUUCCUAUUGCAAAAAAAAAAAAGCCAUAAAACAAGCUCAUAAUUUUCAGGAGGUAGAAUUUCAGUAGCAAUAACAGUUUUGCAUGUAUAAUAAGUUGCAUUAGCAAGAUUGUACAAUAGACUACUACUUGAAUUUGAGACUGCGAUCAACAGAAUUCCAUGAAAGGAAAAAGAUGUUUUAGAUAAAGAGUGUAUAAAGGUACUUAAAAAAAAACUAUGAAUGUGCAUGAAUAUAUCAUUAUGUGAGAAAUAGCAACUUUUGUGUAAGUCAAAGUUUAAAUACUUUACUUGGUUGCUAGAGCAGAGGUUCUUUAGAGCCUCGUUAAAUUAACCUUAUCUGAUGCUUAACCUGGAAACAUACCCCUGCUGACGUAUCCCCACUGAAGCGCAUCGUGUGGGGAUUUUGCUCAUGACGUUUCUUUUAGCAACAGGCCAUUUAUAAAAUGGCAUACAUUUUGCUUUGUCACCUCAUCUUUCUCCAUUAGUUUCCUGGGUACAUUUUUUAAAAGAGAGAAAAGUUUGUUGUGUGUAUAUAUUUAUGGUUUAAAAAACAAACCAAGAGCUUGGAUAACUGGCUUUUCCUCAUGCCUAUUAGUAUAGGGGAGUUAGGAUUUCAAGGUGUUAAGCAAAAGGAUUGAAAGGAAUGGCCAAAGGCAGUACAUCAUCUAAUGUAGAUGUGCCAAAGCCUGGGGUUUAUGACAGCUUAUUUUAUCAGGAACCCAGCAAACUAGUUUCUUGAUCUGAAGAACAACACAGCUCUCACAUCUAGAUGUAAUUGUGGAACAAGGGCGACUACUUUUACCUCAUGUUCAUCUUGGCCAUUUAGUACCUUGAAGAUUCCCCAAAAGAGUGUGUUCCCUUGUUUCCCAGGGGGGAAAGCUGAAAGAUAAAUAGAGUGGAUCUAAGAAGAUAGUGCCUCUUGAAUACUAAAUUCUUAAAUGGCAACUCCAAAGGAUAGAGAAAAGGCUAUAUUAUUAAAUGAUUAUAGCUCCUCUUUAUAUGUCCUAUGCCUUCAGUUGGUGUUAGAGGCAUUGGAAUAACCAAGCAAUAUUCAGACAUCUGCACGAUCAUGAGGACACCACUGCAUGUUACAGUGAUGUCAACAGUUGAGUUACUUAGAACAAUUAAAGAUUACCCUCAACAGCCACAUAACAGUUCUAAAUGCUCAAAUAUGCUCUUGAGUUUUUGUGGUCUCAAAGUAUGGUUGAUUAUUUUCCAAUAUUGUGAUCCCAUGUUUACUCUUUAUGUACCUGUGAUAUGCAAAAUAUGAAGAGACCCUUGGCCUCCAGGAGUUUACAUUCUCAUGGUGCUGCUGGUACAAGCAAAUUGCUUCUCGUUUAUUCAGAACAUUGCUUGGCUGUUAAUUAUACCAUGUUUGGAAGGAUUCCUUGGCCAACAGUUUUCAAAAGCAGAGGGCUAUGCUAAACUUCAGGGCAUUGAUUUUUGAGUUUACAUUGUAUUAGCUCUGCUGUUCAUAAACUCCUUUUCCCCAGGGAGCUGUGCAGGUAUGCUCAUUAAUGUGAAUCAGAAACCAUUCUGCCUAAGAGCAUUUUCACCGUCUACACCACCUAUGUAUGCUCUUCUAUGCCAUCACUGUCAGUAAAUGGCCAAGAAAACUUAACUGCUCCAGAGGACAUCUGUCAGUACUCUUUUCCCAAAUUUUUACAUUAUUCUCUACCCGAAAGGACCAGAAUUUGCAAUUAAGCCUUUUAUAACUGAAUAGGGUCCAAAUUUUAACCUUUUUGUGUGUGACUUUUGUACCUCUGUUCUGAAGCAGCAUUGUGAUAGAUGUGGAGCAGCUGCCUGCAUUUCUAAGCAAUCACUUUAUCAGCCUAUAUUUUCAGUGGAAACCGCAUGUAUCCUUGUAAUUUCCCCUAAUUCCUCUUAGUCAAAGAGUUUACUCUGCAUGUUUAUUAAAACUGGGUCUGAAUGAAAGUACGAGCAAUAGUGGCAGGCCCGUAACUCUUUAGAGUAUAAUAUUCCUAAUGCAUGGUUGAAAAUGUACAGUGUUAAUGUGGUUACUAGUAAUUAUAUAUAUCCAUUUAUUAGUAAUGAAGCAAUAGAGACUUAAACCACUAUCUUGAAUUUAUUGUUUGGAUCAUUAGUUUUCAUUUUCUAAGUAAAGACUCUUUCUUCCGUUGAAAAUGGGAGCUAGAACAGGGGCAACCACAAGACAUUCAGACUGUCAAGAAGAGAGCAUAACAGUGCUCACCCUCUAACUUCUUGCCUGGUUCCAUUAGUCCCCAAGCAUGUUUAAAAACAAAGCACAAACUAAGCAUGUUGAAUAAAAAGCUGUUGUGGCUCUAAUAAUCAAGUGCAGAGUUUCAGAAAGGGUAUGGAGUGCCAGUGUGGAAGAUGUAACCAGGAAUGGGAUUUGUCUGAUAAAGUUUAUGUGGCUUAACUUUGGAUCUCUUUAAGACUAGAAUCUUGAAAGUGAAGAGAGACAAUAAUGCACGUACUUCAGAUGUUCCAGGAUUUUCAGGUAACUGGGCAGCUCUUUGGAUGGUACUGCUAUUAACCAGCCGUAAGAGUUCCUUCCAGCAAAGGAGCCCUUUACAUUUUAUGGAGAUAGUCCUUAAAAUACUCACAUCUGUAGUUUGGUUUCUCUGUUGUUCCUGUAUUCAAAUUUUCAAAGAAAAGUUUUAUAGCCAGAGUUUUAUAAUUUGUUGCUUAAAGUUUUUUAUGCCAGGUAAAAAGGAGCAGCUUUUCCCAUUUUGAAGAAAAACCUUGUCAUUUAUUUUCUUGACGUAGAAAAUAGACCAGUUUAUUGUGAUAGCUUACAAUUUUUUGAGAUGAUUUCUGAUUUUGAAAUAACCUAUGAAAGAACAUGUGAUCAUGACAAAUGUACAAAUGGGAUUCAUUGUAUCUGAAAGAGGCCUAAGUAGAAGAGAAUUCAGAAUUAGACUGGUUUUCACUAGGCACCAUCCAGUUUCACAUUCAGUGAUUGAAAAUUAUUUCUACCUGACUUUAAUCUUUGCUGUGGGAUUUGAUUCCAAAUACCUUUGGAUAACUUUCCAGUAGUUAAAAAUUGAAUUACUAAUAGUCAUUUGACUCAGUUCAGGAAGUGAAAUGUCAUAUCCCAUAUGUAAAGUUUCUCUUUGGUACUUAAUGAUAACAUGUCUGCCAAACAAACCAGUAAAGAUUAAAGGACAGAGUUUCUCUCAUCUCUGCUUCCAUUAUUCCACUAGGGCAUAUUAAAAUGUUAAUAUUAGAAAUCCAAACAUCACAGAUUUCUCCAGGAACUCACAGAUUUCUCCAGGAACUCAUACUUCUCCAACGUUUAAGUCAGAAUAGAUAUGUUAAGGUUAGAAUUUUCAAAAGAUUUUGUCUCCUUUGGUGAUGGUAUGCCACACCAUAGAUUAAAAUGUUUUUCUCCCAGGGAUAAGUAUUCUGGCAAUAAAUUAUCAUCAGUCCUUAAGCAACAGUAAUGUUUUCACCCUUACCUUAAAACCACCGAUCACUGGUAAUUUUAAAAGAUUCAUAUUAGAAUAACCUUCACAGAGACUUACUUCAGUAGCUUGUUUUUACUGUUCAGCAUCUUCUUCCCAUGGUAUAUAAGAUAAUGUUAAAAGACUUUCAUUGACUGUUUGGAAUUUUACAAAAGGCCACUUACUUUCUAAUCUAUGCAUCUUUGGGAUUGUAGAUUAAAUUUUAUUCUUUGCUGUAAAAAGGAACUGCUGUAAGAGUUAGAAACUCUGCACCUGUGUACAUAUAUAUUUUGGCAAUAAAGCAGCAUGGGCUGAGAAUGCACUGAAA